AUGGGGAUGUUGCUGGCCACCUUACUAUGUUGGUUUCAACGAAAAAGCUCCUACAACGAUGGCGAUCUCCCGAAGAAGGGUCUAGAGAUCGUGCCAGCUGCGAUAAAGGAUACUGGUGCGGCGGUGCCGGUGCAACCGAUGAGGGUGAGGAGGAGGAGGAUCAGCUCAUCCAAAAUGAUCUGGACGAGGGCAGUAGACCGGAUCGUCCUGGACGAGAUGAUCCUCCUCCACCACACCCUCAUCGGUUGCACCGGCACCGCCCCCGUGGUCUCCCUCCUCCAAGUUUGCAUCUGCAACAUGCAUCACAAGCCCUUCGGAUUCACGGUCAGCAAGCUGCUCCGUGCUGCCAUGCGGCUUGAACCGAAUGAGUUCAUACUCAGUUUCCCCUGGAGCAAAGAAGUCUGCUUCAACCUUGUUCGACUACCUUGCUUCCACCGCAGCACCUUUCGCGUGCUGGAAAGGCUUGAAUUCGACUCCUCUGAGUAUGAUUUGAUUGGGCUCCACACGAUGUCCCUCUCAAAAGAUUGGCCUGGGUGGCCUCUACAUCUCUCUCCCUUGAUGCCUGACCUCUGA
rnacentral:rRNA from 1 species